rnacentral:rRNA from 1 species
UACGGAGGGUGCAAGCGUUAAUCGGAAUUACUGGGCGUAAAGCGUGCGCAGGCGGUUUGUUAAGUCUGCUGUGAAAUCCCCGAGCUCAACUUGGGAAUUGCAGUGGAUACUGGCAGGCUGGAGUACGGUAGAGGAAGGUGGAAUUCCCGGUGUAGCAGUGAAAUGCGUAGAGAUCGGGAGGAACACCAGUGGCGAAGGCGGCCUUCUGGACCAGUACUGACGCUCAUGCACGAAAGCGUGGGGAGCGAACAGG